rnacentral:rRNA from 1 species
CCUACGGGCGGCAGCAGUGGGGAAUAUUGCACAAUGGGGGAAACCCUGAUGCAGCAACGCCGCGUGAGUGCAGAAGUAUUUCGGUAUGUAAAGCUCUAUCAGCAGGGAAGAAGAUGACGGUACCUGAAUAAGAAGCCCCGGCUAAUUACGUACCAGCAGCCGCGGUAAUACGUAGGGGGCAAGCGUUAUCCGGAUUUACUGGGUGGAAAGGGAGCGCAGACGGCAGUGCAAGUCUGGAGUGAAAGCCCGGGGCCCAACGCCGGAACUGCGCUGGAACCUGUGCGGAUAGAGGACUUGAGGGGCAGGCGGAAGUCCUAGUGUCGCGGUGAAAUGCGUAGAUAUUAGGAGGAACACCAGUGGCGAAGGCGGCCUGCUGGACAGUAACUGACGUUGAGGCUCGAAAGCGUGGGGAGCAAACAGGAUUAGAUACCCGAGUAGUC